CGGUUCGUAGCUCAGCUGGUAGAGCACGUGACUCUUAAUCAUGGGGUCGAGGGUUCGAGUCCCUCCGAGCCGA
rnacentral:tRNA from 1 species